rnacentral:rRNA from 1 species
GUGGGGAAUAUUGGACAAUGGGGGGAACCCUGAUCCAGCCAUGCCGCGUGUGUGAAGAAGGCCUUUUGGUUGUAAAGCACUUUAAGCGAGGAGGAGGCUACCGAGAUUAAUACUCUUGGAUAGUGGACGUUACUCGCAGAAUAAGCACCGGCUAACUCUGUGCCAGCAGCCGCUGUAAUACAGAGGGUGCAAGCGUUAAUCGGAUUUACUGGGCGUAAAGCGCGCGUAGGUGGCCAAUUAAGUCAAAUGUGAAAUCCCCGAGCUUAACUUGGGAAUUGCAUUCGAUACUGGUUGGCUAGAGUAUGGGAGAGGAUGGUAGAAUUCCAGGUGUAGCGGUGAAAUGCGUAGAGAUCUGGAGGAAUACCGAUGGCGAAGGCAGCCAUCUGGCCUAAUACUGACACUGAGGUGCGAAAGCAUGGGGAGCAAACAGGAUUAGAUACCCCAGUAGUCC